CAAGAAAUCUGCAUCUAUGGGCAUGAUCUUUGCUGACCUGCCUUUGUCAUAUGGAGCUGCCUGCUUCAGACGAAUUAAAGGCCAUUUAAAUCUAAGGAUUGAAGCCCACCACAUAUACAGAGUCCAGGCAACAAUUUCGGCAUGUAUCUCUAAUCAUUCGGACUUUCGACUUUGUGAUGAUAAUUCACAUGGAUGAAUGGUGUAAAACACUAAAACUGUACUGCUGAUAAAUGUGGUACAAGAAAAGUGAAGUUCAUCUACUGAAAAUGAAUCAAGAUGUGAGUAGAAGGAAACAGGCGAAUCAGACUGGGACUCCUGGAGCAUCUCAUGGAGGCACCUGCUAUCAGAACUCCCUUUGGUAUCUUCCUGGAAAUCUUGAUCUGCAAUGCUGAGAAAGUCCUUCAGCUCGGCAAACCCAUGAACACCAGAUUUUGAUGCAGAGACCGUGCUAAUUCCUUCACGAUCAACUGAAUGGUUCGUUCUGUCCUGCAACAAUGCCAGAUUCACUAUCAGUUCUCAAAUGCAGGUCAGAUCAACUCUUGUAUGCACACACAACAACAUUUGCAGACAUGUAUACAGCAUAUGAUACUUACCUCCGAAGAAUUCAACCAUCUCGAAAUGGAAGGGCUUCCAGAUCUUCCUGCCUGAAGACACCUGCUCAUGGAAGUAUAUAUCUUCAGAGUUCUGAGAGUGAGACAACUGUGCCUUUCUUUUCUAUAUACCUACAGAAGCACUACUGCGUAGACAGGUAUAUUGACAAUGCAGCAACUACACUGACAGCAUGAUUUCACCUAUUGGCUAUUUAAACUAUUUAUAGCUGUAGACAUUAGACAAUGCAGCAGUACUGAAGAUGAUCUCUCUAGAUGGUGGUAUCAUUCUGCAGGCAUGCAUUUGCAGUGGACCAGGAUGAUUUUGUGUACAUGCUUGUCUCAAGCCGGAAGUGGAGAAUCUUUGUCCCCAGCUUUUUGCUCCAGGGAUAUUAGCCCAGGGAAUGUGAAGAUAGCAUUGGGCAAAAAGGUGUGUGGCAUUUUGCCUUUAGAUCCCCUUUUGGAAAAGAGAGAGCUCUGAUCUUUCCGUUUUUUGCUUAAAUUGACUCUGGAAAGUGCUGUCUUUUACUUCACAUGUAUUUUGUGAAAGAUUUUUUUUUUGUUUCAGAAAAUAAGAAUUAAUUAUUCAAGUAAAAGGCACCUAUUGUGUUGGUUUGGAUUAAGGAA